UAAGACGAAGCUUUUAUAGCGUUUAACUGUUAAUUGAAAGAAGCACGAAGUGCCGUCUUAA
rnacentral:tRNA from 1 species